rnacentral:rRNA from 1 species
GACUCUUGGCCACUGGGGGGAACACUGAUCCAGCCAUGCCGAGAGUGUCAAGAAGGCCUUUUGGUUGUAAAGCACUGUAAGCGUGGAGGAGGAGCUCUUGGUUAAUAACCAAGAUGCUUGGACGUUACUCGCCGAAUAAGCCCCGGAUAACUCUGUGCCAGAAGCCGCGGUAAUACAGAGGGUGCAAGCGUUAAUCGGAUUUACUGGGCGUAAAGCGCGCGUAGGUGGCCAAUUAAGUCAAAUGUGAAAUCCCCGAGCUUAACUUGGGAAUUGCAUUCGAUACUGGUUGGCUAGAGUAUGGGAGAGGAUGGUAGAAUUCCAGGUGUAGCGGUGAAAUGCGUAGAGAUCUGGAGGAAUACCGAUGGCGAAGGCAGCCAUCUGGCCUAAUACUGACACUGAGGUGCGAAAGCAUGGGGAGCAAAC